GAUCCGGCUCAGGAUGAACGCUAGCUACAGGCUUAACACAUGCAAGUCGAGGGGCAGCAUGGUCUUAGCUUGCUAAGGCCGAUGGCGACCGGCGCACGGGUGAGUAACACGUAUCCAACCUGCCGUCUACUCUUGGACAGUCUUCUGAAAGGAAGAUUAAUACAAGAUGGCAUCAUGAGUUCACAUGUUCACAUGAUUAAAGGUAUUCCGGUAGACGAUGGGGAUGCG
rnacentral:rRNA from 1 species